AAAAAGAAUAAAAUAAAAGAACUCCUAACCCUUUAUGUGUUCAUUUGUGAGCAUGAUCAAAUGAGUGGAUAUUUCCGAACCUCCUCAAGAAUCUCCUCAACGCAGCGAUGAUAUGCUAAAUGUUCAGAUUCAGUAGUCACCGUGAUGUUUAUUAUAGCCUAUAGUGUAAUUAUAUUUUGUUUCUUUUUCCACGACUCCAUUCCAUAUUACUCUAGGAUGAGAUAAUUGCUUAGAAAUUAAUCUCUGCAAUCCUUUAACAUGUUUGCACAAAGUUGAUUUUUUUUUUCUUUUUUCUUUCUGUAGCUAUAUUGCCUCGAUGUUUUUUCAGUAUCUCAUCUAAAGUUUUCUCAAAUCUGAUUAUUAAUAUAUCUCUCUCACCUCAUCUAUACAUGGACAUCUUAGCCCCUUGUUGGUAUUUCAGAUUCUUAGGCUUAAUUAAGUUCCAGUACAGUGCCUAUGUGAUCUUUUGUGCAGGCCACCCAUGGAUCGUGGAUGACAGGAUUUCCCUAGAUAAACCUCUUGAUUCUGCUAUUUUAUCGCACCUGAAGCAGUUCUCUGAAACGAACAAGCUUAAGAAGAUGGAUUUGCAUAUGAGACUGUUCAUGCUAAUAGAGUACAGAUGCACGUGGACCAACUUGCUCACACAUGUCAUAGCAGAGAGGCUUUCUGAAGAAGAGAUGGGUGGUUGGAAAGGCUUGUUCAAAAUGAUAGACACAGACAACAGUGAAACAAUAAUUUUGAUGAAUUAAAAGACGACUUAAAAUGAGUAGCUCUGAACUAAUGGAGUCUGAGAUAAAGGAUACGAUGGAUGCUGCUGAUAUUGACCACAGUGGAGCAAUUGAUUGUGGUGAAUUUCACUUGAAUAAAUUGGAGAGAGGAGAAUUUAGCAUCUGCUUUCUCAUUCUCUGAUAAAGAUGGUAGUGGUUACAUAAGUAUUGAUGAGCUUCAACAAGCCUACGAAGAGCUUUGCUUAAUGAUGGAGAAAUAGACUAUGGUGAUGCAUUGAUGAGGAAGGGAGACGGAGAACAAUGAGAAGCACAGUUAAUUUGGGAGAUGCUUUAGGAAUGGCUGCCCUUUUAUUAUCAUGUGUUUUGGUAAAUAAACUACCAUCAACAAGAAUGGUAUGAUGAUUUACAAUUUGUUGUUAGAGUAUCGUCUGGAGGAACAGUAGCUAGUCUUACACGGUGUAUUCUUGAAGGCAUUGAUCAUAUUCAUAGGCAGGGUUAUGUUCAUUGUGAAUUGAAUUCUGAGUACAUCUUGCUCGUGUUGCUGGCAUUAGGAGUGUUGAAUUUGUGGCAAAGAUUAGAGAUUUUGGCUUGGCAAAGAAAGCGGAGAACAACAAAAAAAGCAAGUAUCUUCUUCCUUAUCUCAGGGGGGCUGCUUUUUGUAUGUGGAUGCUUACAGGGAAUCCAGUUUGGGAUUUCAAUCCUGAAACCACCACAGAAGAACUUCUGAGAAAGAUUGCCGAAAAUUCCUCCUUUUGUGUCAGGAAUUGAUAACAAAGAAUUGGCGGGCCUUUCAGAUGCGGAAGGGGUGGCAGACGAUGAAUUCAGUCCUUCGUCCUGUUCUAAAGAAUGGAAUUUCACCUCAGAAGAGGAGGUUUCUUCUCUCUCAUCUUGGUCAGAUGAUCCAGAAGAAAGUCUUAGCACUACUGGCUCUACCUUUAUUACCAGAGAUGUUCUUGCAUCAGAAUCCAUGGCACAGGUUUCAGCUUAGCUACUAGCAGCAACAUUGCUGCUGUUGUACAAGAGGGAGAUUUUUCUCCACUGAAUUGGUUGGUUGCUUAGAUCAGUAAGCACUAAAAACACAGAAUUUGUGUGAGAUGUCGAGUGUAUACUCUUUUGAAAAAGCAGAGCAUAUAUCUUUUAUUCCUUCUUCUUUAA